GUGACAGAAGAGAGUGAGCACACAUGGCGUUUUCUGGCAUGAUGUUUAUAUAUAUAUAUGCUUGAAACUAUGUGUGCUCACUGCUCUAUCUGUCAC
rnacentral:pre_miRNA from 1 species